rnacentral:rRNA from 1 species
GUAUAGACCCGAAACCCGGUGAUCUAGCCAUGGGCAGGUUGAAGGUUGGGUAACACUAACUGGAGGACCGAACCGACUAAUGUUGAAAAAUUAGCGGAUGACCUGUGGCUGGGGGUGAAAGGCCAAUCAAACCGGGAGAUAGCUGGUUCUCCCCGAAAGCUAUUUAGGUAGCGCCUCGUGAAUUCAUCUCCGGGGGUAGAGCACUGUUUCGGCUAGGGGGCCAUCCCGGCUUACCAACCCGAUGCAAACUGCGAAUACCGGAGAAUGUUAUCACGGGAGACACACGGCGGGUGCUAACGUCCGUCGUGAAGAGGGAAACAACCCAGACCGCCAGCUAAGGUCCCAAAGUCAUGGUUAAGUGGGAAACGAUGUGGGAAGGCCCAGACAGCCAGGAUGUUGGCUUAGAAGCAGCCAUCAUUUAAAGAAAGCGUAAUAGCUCACUGGUCGAGUCGGCCUGCGCGGAAGAUGUAACGGGGCUAAACCAUGCACCGAAGCUGCGGCAGCGACGCUGAUGCGUUGUUGGGUAGGGGAGCGUUCUGUAAGCCUGUGAAGGUGGCCUGUGAGGGUUGCUGGAGGUAUCAGAAGUGCGAAUGCUGACAUAAGUAACGAUAAAGCGGGUGAAAAGCCCGCUCGCCGGAAGACCAAGGGUUCCUGUCCAACGUUAAUCGGGGCAGGGUGAGUCGACCCCUAAGGCGAGGCCGAAAGGCGUAGUCGAUGGGAAACGGGUUAAUAUUCCCGUACUUGGUGUUACUGCGAAGGGGGGACGGAGAAGGCUAUGUUGGCCGGGCGACGGUUGUCCCGGUUUAAGCGUGUAGGUGUGUGUUCCAGGUAAAUCCGGUUCACUUUAACACUGAGGCGUGAUGACGAGGCACUACGGUGCUGAAGCAACAAAUGCCCUGCUUCCAGGAAAAGCCUCUAAGCAUCAGGUAACAUCAAAUCGUACCCCAAACCGACACAGGUGGUCAGGUAGAGAAUACCAAGGCGCUUGAGAGAACUCGGGUGAAGGAACUAGGCAAAAUGGUGCCGUAACUUCGGGAGAAGGCACGCUGACACGUAGGUGAAGUGAUUUACUCAUGGAGCUGAAGUCAGUCGAAGAUACCAGCUGGCUGCAACUGUUUAUUAAAAACACAGCACUGUGCAAACACGAAAGUGGACGUAUACGGUGUGACGCCUGCCCGGUGCCGGAAGGUUAAUUGAUGGGGUCAGCGCAAGCGAAGCUCCUGAUCGAAGCCCCGGUAAACGGCGGCCGUAACUAUAACGGUCCUAAGGUAGCGAAAUUCCUUGUCGGGUAAGUUCCGACCUGCACGAAUGGCGUAAUGAUGGCCAGGCUGUCUCCACCCGAGACUCAGUGAAAUUGAACUCGCUGUGAAGAUGCAGUGUACCCGCGGCAAGACGGAAAGACCCCGUGAACCUUUACUAUAGCUUGACACUGAACAUUGAGCCUUGAUGUGUAGGAUAGGUGGGAGGCUUUGAAGUGUGGACGCCAGUCUGCAUGGAGCCGGCCUUGAAAUACCACCCUUUAAUGUUUGAUGUUCUAACGUGGACCCGUGAUCCGGGUUGCGGACAGUGUCUGGUGGGUAGUUUGACUGGGGCGGUCUCCUCCUAAAGAGUAACGGAGGAGCACGAAGGUUGGCUAAUCCUGGUCGGACAUCAGGAGGUUAGUGCAAUGGCAUAAGCCAGCUUGACUGCGAGCGUGACGGCGCGAGCAGGUGCGAAAGCAGGUCAUAGUGAUCCGGUGGUUCUGAAUGGAAGGGCCAUCGCUCAACGGAUAAAAGGUACUCCGGGGAUAACAGGCUGAUACCGCCCAAGAGUUCAUAUCGACGGCGGUGUUUGGCACCUCGAUGUCGGCUCAUCACAUCCUGGGGCUGAAGUAGGUCCCAAGGGUAUGGCUGUUCGCCAUUUAAAGUGGUACGCGAGCUGGGUUUAGAACGUCGUGAGACAGUUCGGUCCCUAUCUGCCGUGGGCGCUGGAGAACUGAGGGGGGCUGCUCCUAGUACGAGAGGACCGGAGUGGACGCAUCACUGGUGUUCGGGUUGUCAUGCCAAUGGCACUGCCCGGUAGCUAAAUGCGGAAGAGAUAAGUGCUGAAAGCAUCUAAGCACGAAACUUGCCCCGAGAUGAGUUCUCCCUGAGACUUAGAGUCUCCUGAAGGAACGUUGAAGACGACGACGUUGAUAGGCCGGGUGUGUAAGCGCAGCGAUGCGUUGAGCUAACCGGUACUAAUGAACCGUGAGGCUUAACCUU